rnacentral:sRNA from 1 species
UGUCUUGAAAUAAACUAGCAGUCAGUCUUAUGAUUUUGAAGGGUUUUAUUUUAAAAUGAUUAUGCAAAAUUUUUUUAUCUAAAUAAAAUUAUAUAACAAUUUUCCUUUGACUUUCUUUACAUCUUGAAUUUUUUAGAAAAAUGAUUUACAUAAGGAAGAUAAAAAUACUUAAUAUAUUAAGAUCUUUAUAGAGUUUUAGUAGUAAUAUUUAAGAGAUUGUUAUAAUACUAAAGCCAUGAUUUCUAAAAAUAGAUAACGUAAUAUAUUAU